UUCUUAUUGGAUGAUGACUGUCACGUGUCAUGUUCUGAUUGGUUAAUGAAAACAACAAUUCAUUUAUCUUUCAUGGAGUUGACAUCCAAUCAGAACAUGACACGUGGCAGUCAACAUCA
rfam:Glycine soja cultivar W05 scaffold4050_3, whole genome shotgun sequence.